UACCGGAGAGGGAGGGCCGAGGUCGGCUCCCAGACCCACCGGGAAGAAGGGGGAAGGGAUCGAGUCCGGAGAGGCUGCGGCGCGUGGCCUGAGGCGGAGAGCUGGACUCCGGGGGUCUGGGCCAGGACAGGCGCCGGUCUGACCCGCCUUGCUCGCAAAUGCAGGCCGGGCUUCCUCUUCCCUUGGCGGGUGGGGGGGGAGGGGAGGGGGCUUGAGGCCGGAGGGAAAGGUGGUCCCAAUCCUCCAGUUUCAGAGCUACAAAGCUGAUCCGGGCCUCGUUAAGGGACGUCUGGGUGCCCCCUUAAAGACCUGGGGUGCCGCUACCACCGCAACCCCAAGGCACACCGGGUCUGGCUCGGUGUACCGCAUUCCCCUUCUUCCCCUGGAGCAUCUGGCGGAGCUGGGGGAAAGGCAAGAGAAAGCCAUCAAGGAGAAUGCUGUUGCCGCUGCAGCCUGGAGUCUUUGGCUCCUGCAGUUCAUGAGGCCUCUCUCAAUAGGGUAAGGGGCUGACCUACGCUAUGGUUCCCUGGGGACUCAGCAUCUGGAGCGGAGCAGGCAAAGGCUCAGCUAGAACCGGGAUCUGGGGCUGUGUUGUACUUGGAUAGCCGGAGUCAAUUUGGCCUAUCUCAAAACCCAGGCCUUGAGGCUGCUGCUGGAGGCGUCAAGUUGAGCAGGGCUGGAAAACGAAGCGGAGCGGGGCAUGCUGCCUUGUCCCUCCUCCCGGAGCCAAGGCGCCGGCCUGGGCGGAUCUGAUGGCGCGGUUACCGACUGAAGUGAAGCCCGGAACCUGAAGGGCUGGGAGGUCGGGGAGAAAGCAGAGAAGCACCGAAGGCCAGAAAUUAAAUUCACAGCCCGGGACCCCAACGACCCAAGGACUAGGGAAAAAGUCACUUCCCAUUCCGGCUCGAUCAAUCUUCCUUCGAUGCGAUUGAUUAAUAGAAAACGAAUGAAAAGACCGUGGUCGCUGUGCGUCUGGGAAGGAAGCGAAGGGCAGAGUGGCCAUUGUUGAAGCAAUUAGCGAGAGACAAUAACCACCGAGAUGCGUUUAAUUCGAUUCCGUGCACGCUGCAAUCCCCGCCCGGGCUCUGCGAUAUGCAGGCCUGGGAUAACCCGGAGGGUCUGGUUGUGAAGUUUAAAACACCGGAGGAAAGCUGCCCAAGCCAGGAGGAGCGAGGUAACGACGUGGAGACUACCAGAGAAGAGAAGUGCUGGGCAAUUACCCACCUCGUACUCCGCCCCCCAGCCCAGCCCUCUCCUUCAUCUUCGGGGGAUUCUUGCCCUCCCUCAGCCAAUACCAUUUUCCCCGCUUGAGAAAACCCCUGAUUAUAGAGAGAUUUUUAAAAGGGGGGGUAGAUAGGGGUGAAGCGGAAAGGGGCAGGUGGACAGG